rnacentral:lncRNA from 1 species
AUGGCUACAAUGAAGCACUUUGGAUUUGAGCUUCUCUUUGAGAAAGAGCAGUAUUUCUACAGAAGAGAUACCUGGUGGACCGAUGAAGCUCCAAGGAGGUCUUUAUGGGUUCUUGCCUUGCUGUUCAUCCUCUGGGAUUUGAAAACUGCUCUUAGUCUCUGGACAGAGUCUACUUGUCUUGCCUGGUUUGAAUCCACGGAUCAUCUGCAGAACACAGGAGGAGGCUGACCAGAGCGCGGCCAGGGAUGACCAAAUUUCAGGACGCAGUGAUGUGCAAAGGAAAGCCACAACUGGGAGCACGGAAACCUCUAGAAACAUCUCAAGUUUGGAUUCAAGCAUCACCGUCUUUCUAAGGAGAUGUGGAGCUGCACUGUAAGUCACUCUAGGAAAAAAACAAAACAAAGGAAAACCCCUUUACCAAAUGGAAAAUAAAAGAAAUUGAUUCUUAAGGGGAAAAAAAAGA